CAGAUUAAAACUCAAAGGAAUUGACGGGGACCCGCACAAGCGGUGGAGCAUGUGGUUUAAUUCGAUGCAACGCGAAAAACCUUACCACUCCUUGACAUGGAAAUUAUACCUAUUCGAAGGGAUAGGGUCGGUUCGGCCGGGUUUCACACAGGUGUUGCAUGGCUGUCGUCAGCUCGUGUCGUGAGAUGUUGGGUUAAGUCCCGCAACGAGCGCAACCCUCAUCCUUAGUUACCAUCAGGUAAUGCUGGGGACUUUAAGGAGACUGCCAGUGAUAAACUGGAGGAAGGUGGGGAUGAUGUCAAGUCAUCAUGGCCCUUAUGGAGUGGGCUACACACGUGCUACAAUGGUGGCUACAAUGGGCUGCAAAGUCGCGAGGCUAAGCCAAUCCCUUAAAAGCCAUCUCAGUUCGGAUUGUACUCUGCAGCUCGAGUGCAUGAAGUUGGAAUCGCUAGUAAUCGUGGAUCAGCACGCCACGGUGAAUACGUUCUCGGGUCUUGUACACACUGCCCGUCACGCCAUGGGAAUUGGUUUCACUCGAAGCUAACGACCUAACCGCAAGGAGGGAGUUAUUUAAAGUGGGAUCGGUGACUGGGGUG
rnacentral:rRNA from 1 species